GGUGGCGAGCGUUGUCCGGAUUUAUUGGGCGUAAAGGGCUCGUAGGUGGCUGAUUGCGUCGAAAGUGAAAGCCUUGCGGCUUAACUGUGGGUUGGCUUUUGAUACGGGUUGGCUUGAGGGAAGUAGGGGAGAAUGGAAUUCCUGGUGGAGCGGUGGAAUGCGCAGAUAUCAGGAGGAACACCGAUGGCGAAGGCAGUUCUCUGGGCUUUUCCUGACGCUGAGGAGCGAGAGCGUGGGGAGCAAACAGGCUUAGAUACCCUGGUAGUCCACGCUGUAAACGGUGGGUACUAGAUGUGGGGGCUUGUUCAAUGGUUUCUGUGUCGUAGCUAACGCUUUAAGUACCCCGCCUGGGGAGUACGGCCGCAAGGCUAAACUCAAAGGAAUUGACGGGGCCCCGCACAAGCGGCGGAGCAUGCGGAUUAAUUCGAUGCAACGCGAAGAACCUUACCUGGGUUUGACAUACACUAGAAGCGCUCAGAGAUGGGUGUGCCCUUGUGGCUGGUGUACAGGUGGUGCAUGGCUGUCGUCAGCUCGUGUCGUGAGAUGUUGGGUUAAGUCCCGCAACGAGCGCAACCCUUGUCCUAUCUUGCCAGCGGGUGAUGCCGGGGACUGAUGGGAGACUGCCGGGGUCAACUCGGAGGAAGGUGGGGAUGACGUCAAGUCAUCAUGCCCCUGAUGUCCAGGGCUUCACGCAUGCUACAAUGGCCGGUACAGUCAGUGGCGAUCUCGUGAGGGUGAGCGAAUCUGUCAAAGCCGGUCUCAGUUCGGAUUGGGGUCUGCAACUCGACCCCAUGAAGUCGGAGUCGCUAGUAAUCCCGGAUCAGCAACGCCGGGGUGAAUACGUUCCCGGGGCUUGUACACACCGCCCGUCAAGUCAUGAAAGUCGGUAACACCCCAAGCCCAUGGCCUAACCCCGGUUGGGGAGGGAGUGGUCGAAGGUGGGACUGGUGAUUAGGACU
rnacentral:rRNA from 1 species